UGCAAUUGCAGUUCGCGCCGUCGAACCAUCGCAGCAACUCGCUUGCAGCGCCGAUCGCAUUUCCUCGUCACAUUACGCGCCCUGUAAUAAGUUACCAGGCUACUAGACUUAUCGAGGAGAUAUUUCCGGGCAACGACAUCAAAGCAAACGUUAAUUAACCGGCAUACCAAAAUUAAUAAGCUCAAAUCGGCCUCGAUUGGCUGCAAUCUUGUAAGAGGAGCGGAUGAAUUUAACUACUAAAGGUUAAAUUCGAAGACUGCAUUGCGAAUUGUUUAUCCUACAAGUACACAUAUUCACACUACGAACAAUGAAUUUAUGUCAUAUUUUUUUUAAUUAUAAUUUUUAGAUACGAAGUUAAAUGUAAAUGUUGAAAAUGUUAGAAAUCUGAAAUGAAAGUGAAAUUUUUGAA